rfam:Picea glauca, whole genome shotgun sequence.
CAUAAGGCUUUUCUUAAAGCCAUGUUUUAUUUGUACAUAUUCUUUU